rnacentral:lncRNA from 1 species
CAGGAGCCACCUCACCUCUGCCCUUCCUCUGCAAGGCUAGCAUUACUUCCUAUCAUUCCCACUGCUCUCAACAAGAGAUUAAGAGCUGGGUGGGGGAAUUUUAGCCAGGGGGGUGCAGGAAGUGCUCCCAGCAGGGGGAGGAAACUGACUGGGGCUUCUGGAUCUGGGAACAGACAUGGCCCAACCUGGCCCUCUGUGGUCUCAUUCCUGGCAAACAUUCUGGGCUCCCAAGAGAAAAUUUUUUUUAAAAGGGACAAACCUACAAAACAAUCUUCCCAUCCUGGCGCAUUCGUGGCAGACCUGGGAAGAUGCUGCCAUGUCCCCUGCCUCCUGGAAGCCCUCCUCCAGUCCU